GUCUCGGUAGUGUAAGGGAUAAGAGCAAUGUCCCUUGAAAGGACAAGUACGGGUUCGAGUCCCGUCCGAGCUG
rfam:Haemonchus contortus, ISE/inbred ISE, WGS project CAVP01000000 data, contig: Hcontortus_38557